UUAUAGAAGUGACGGGCAAUUUGUGCAUAUAUAAAAAUUAAAUUCAAAUUAAUUAAUUUAUUAAUUUUACUUUUAAAUCCUAAAAAUUUAAUUUUUUUUUAAAAAAAAAUUUUUAAAUGCAACUCAUUUUAAUCUUUAAAAUACUACAUAUUGAUCUGAAAUAAUUUUUAAUAAAAUAUUUUAAAUAAAAUAAUUUUAUUUAUUUUUUUAACGAACAUACAUAAAUUAAUAUUUAAAGUUUAAUUUAACGUGGAUUAUCAAUUAUUAAACAAGUUUCCCUAAAUAAAUUUAUAUACUACCAUAUUUAAAUAUUUCAUUAAUUUAAUAAAAUAUUAAUAAAUUUAAUUUUAAUACUAGGGUAUCUAAUCCUAGGUUUAA
rnacentral:rRNA from 1 species